AUACGGAGGGUCCGAACGUUAAUCGGAAUUACUGGGCGUAAAGCGCGCGUAGGCGGAUAUUUAAGUCAGAUGUGAAAUCCCUGGGCUCAACCUAGGAACUGCAUUUGAAACUGGAUAUCUAGAGUAUGCUAGAGGUGAGUGGAAUUUCAGGUGUAGAGGUGAAAUGCGUAGAGAUCUGAAGGAACAGCAGUGGCGAAGGCGACUCACUGGGCCAUUACUGACGCUGAGGUGCGAAAGCGUGGGUAGCAAACAGGAUUAGAAACCCUAGUAGUCC
rnacentral:rRNA from 1 species